UACGGAGGGUGCAAACGUUGCUCGGAAUUAUUGGGCGUAAAGCGCACGUAGGCGGUCCAGCAAGUCGGGAGUGAAAUCCCUCGGCUCAACCGAGGAAGUGCUUUCGAAACUACUGGGCUUGAAUACUGGAGAGGGUUGCGGAAUUCCCGGUGUAGAGGUGAAAUUCGUAGAUAUCGGGAGGAACACCAGUGGCGAAGGCGGCGAUCUGGGAAGAUACUGACGCUGAGGUGCGAAAGCGUGGGGAGCAAACAGG
rnacentral:rRNA from 1 species